rnacentral:snRNA from 1 species
GGAUGUAAGAGCAAGCUGGCUGCAGUGUCUGUCCCCAGCUUGGUUUAGCUGACCUGUGGCAAGGUGACUGUCCCCUUCUCCCUCACUGUUCUGCUUGAGUUCCCUCCUCAAGCUGCAUGCUCAGUGGAGAACAAAGACCUCCCCAAAUGCAAGAGGCACAACAGGGGAUGGGUC